GCUCCGAUAGUGUAGCACGGCCAAUCAUGCAGGACUCUCACUCCUGCGACUGGGGUUCAAAUCCCCAUCGGAGCAC
rnacentral:tRNA from 1 species